rnacentral:rRNA from 1 species
CCUACGGGAGGCAGCAGUGAGGAAUAUUGGUCAAUGGUCGGGAGACUGAACCAGCCAAGCCGCGUGAGGGAUGAAGGUACAGUGGAUCGUAAACCUCUUUUGUCAGGGAACAAAGGCGGGUACGUGUCCUCCGCUGCGUGUACCUUAUGAAUAAGCAUCGGCUAACUCCGUGCCAGCAGCCGCGGUAAUACGGAGGAUGCGAGCGUUAUCCGGAUUUAUGGGGUUUAAAGGGUGCGCGGGCGGUCUGUUAAGUCAGCGGUAAAAGCUGGGGGCUCAACCCAGAACCGCCGUUGAGACUGGCAGUCUCGAGUAGGGGAGAGGUAGGCGGAAUGCGCGGUGUAGCGGUGAAAUGCUUAGAUAGCACGAAGAACUCCGAUUGCGAAGGCAGCAUGCCGG